rnacentral:rRNA from 1 species
ACAGCAGUAGCCACGGUAAUACGUAGGGUGCAAGCGUUAAUCAGAAUUACUGGGCGUAAAGCGUGCGCAGGCGGUUCGUUAAGACAGAUGUGAAAUCCCCGGGCUUAACCUGGGAACUGCAUUUGUGACUGGCGAGCUAGAGUAUGGCAGAGGGGGGUAGAAUUCCACGUGUAGCAGUGAAAUGCGUAGAGAUGUGGAGGAAUACCGAUGGCGAAGGCAGCCCCCUGGGCCAAUACUGACGCUCAUGCACGAAAGCGUGGGGAGCGAACAGGAUUAGAUACCCCCGUAGUCCCUGUCUCUUAUAC